rnacentral:rRNA from 1 species
AUUGAACGCUGGCGGCAGGCCUAACACAUGCAAGUCGAACGAGUGGGGGACGGGUGAGUAAUGUCUGGGAAAAUGCCCGAUGGAGGGGGAUAACUACUGGAGACGGUAGCUAAUACCGCAUACCAUACGAGGUGUCCACAUGGGAUUAGCUAGUAGGUGGGGUAACGGGUCACCCAGGAGGAGAUCCCUAGCUGGUCUGUGAGGAUGACCAGCCACACUGGAACUGAGACACGGUCCAGACUCCUACGGGAGGCAGCAGUGGGGAAUAUUGCACAAUGGGCGCAAGCCUGAUGCAGCCAUGCCGCGUGUAUGAAGAAGGCCUUCGGGUUGUAAAGUACUUUCAGCGAGGAGGCGUUACUCGCAGAAGAAGCACCGGCUAACUCCGUGCCAGCAGCCGCUGUAAUUC